AUUUGCAUAGCCUUUACAAGCGGUCACAAACUCAAGAAACGAGCGGUUUUAAUAGUCUUUUAGAAUAUUGUUUAUCGAACCGAAUAAGGAACUGUGCUUUGUGAUUCACAUAUCAGUGGAGGGGUGUGGAAAUGGCACCUUGAUCUCACCCUCAUCGAAAGUGGAGUUGAUGUCCUUCCCUGGCUCGCUACAGACGCACUUCCGCAAGUGUUACAGCUCUUUUAGAAUUUGUCUAGCAGGUUUUCUGACUUCGGUCGGAAAACCCCU
rnacentral:sRNA from 1 species